rnacentral:RNase_P_RNA from 1 species
CCAGCUGGCCGGAUGACCGCCGGGGAGGCGCAAGCCUUCCGGGAGGAAAGUCCGGGCUCCAUGGAAAUACGGUGCCGGGUAACGCCCGGCGGGGGUAACCCCAGGGAUAGUGCCACAGAGAACAGACCGCUUCAGAUCAGUCCGAAGCAAGGGUGAAACGGUGCGGCAAGAGCGCACCGCGCGGCCGGCAACGGGCGCGGCACGGUAAACCCCACCGGGAGCAAGACCGAAUAGGGGCGGCAUGGGCUCAGGCCCAGGGACGUUUUCAGCCCGCCGCCCGGGUUGGUCGCGCGAAGCGCGUGGCAACACGCGUUCCAGAUGAAUGGUCAUCGAGCGCCCUCACGGGCGUGGACAGAACCCGGCUUACAGGCCGGCUGGCACU